rnacentral:rRNA from 1 species
GCAUAUCAAUAAGCGGAGGAAAAGAAACCCAACAGGGAUUGCCCUAGUAACGGCGAAGUGAAGCGGCAACAGCUCAAAUUUGAAAUCUGGCCCCCGGGUCCGAGUUGUAAUUUGUAGAGGAUGCUUUUGGUGCGGUACCUUCCGAGUGCCCUGGAACGGGACGCCAUAGAGGGUGAGAGCCCCGUCUGGUUGGACGCCAAUCCUUUGUAAAGCUCCUUCAACGAGUCGAGUAGUUUGGGAAUGCUGCUCUAAAUGGGAGGUAUAUGUCUUCUAAAGCUAAAUAUUGGCCAGAGACCGAUAGCGCACAAGUAGAGUGAUCGAAAGAUGAAAAGCACUUUGAAAAGAGAGUUAAAAAGUACGUGAAAUUGUUGAAAGGGAAGCGCUCAUGACCAGACUUGGGCUUGGUUGAUCAUCCAGGGUUCUCCCUGGUGCACUCUUCCGGCCCAGGCCAGCAUCAGUUCGCUGUGGGGGAUAAAGGCUUCGGGAAUGUGGCUCCCUCGGGAGUGUUAUAGCCCGUCGUGUAAUACCCUGUGGUGGACUGAGGUUCGCGCAUUCGCAAGGAUGCUGGCGUAAUGGUCAUCAGCGACCCGUCUUGAAACACGGACCAAGGAGUCGUCUUCGUAUGCGAGUGUUCGGGUGUCAAACCCCUACGCGUAAUGAAAGUGAACGCAGGUGAGAGCUUCGGCGCAUCAUCGACCGAUCCUGAUGUUCUCGGAUGGAUUUGAGUAAGAGCAUACGGGGCCGGACCCGAAAGAAGGUGAACUAUGCCUGUAUAGGGUGAAGCCAGAGGAAACUCUGGUGGAGGCUCGCAGCGGUUUCUGACGUGCAAAUCGAUCGUCAAAUAUGGGCAUGGGGGGCGAAAGACUAAUCGAACCUUCUAGUAGCUGGUUUCCGCCGAA